CACCGGCAGCUCAAGUGGUGGCCAUUUUUAUUGGGCCUAAAGCGUUCGUAGCCGGUUUGAUAAGUCUCUGGUGAAAUCCCGCAGCUUAACUGUGGGACUUGCUGGAGAUACUAUUAGACUUGAGGUCGGGAGAGGCUGGAGGUACUCCCAGGGUAGGGGUGAAAUCCUGUAAUCCUGGGAGGACCACCUGUGGCGAAGGCGUCCAGCUGGAACGAACCUGACGGUGAGGGACGAAAGCCAGGGGCGCGAACCGG
rnacentral:rRNA from 1 species